rnacentral:tRNA from 1 species
GGCCUUAUGGUCUAGUCGCAUGAUUCCUCGUUUGGGUCAUCUUUAAAGUGUUCACUCGUGUCGAGGAGGUCCUGGGUUCAAUUCCCAGUGAGGCCC